rnacentral:rRNA from 1 species
CCUACGGGCGGCAGCAGUCGAGAAUCAUUCACAAUGGGGGAAACCCUGAUGGUGCGACGCCGCGUGGGGGAAUGAAGGUCUUCGGAUUGUAAACCCCUGUCAUGUGGGAGCAAAUUAAAAAGAUAGUACCACAAGAGGAAGAGACGGCUAACUCUGUGCCAGCAGCCGCGGUAAUACAGAGGUCUCAAGCGUUGUUCGGAAUCACUGGGCGUAAAGCGUGCGUAGGCUGUUUCGUAAGUCGUGUGUGAAAGGCGCGGGCUCAACCCGCGGACGGCACAUGAUACUGCGAGACUAGAGUGAUGGAGGGGGAACCGGAAUGCUCGGUGUAGCAGUGAAAUGCGUAGAUAUCGAGAGGAACACUCGUGGCGAAGGCGGGUUCCUGGACAUUAACUGACGCUGAGGCACGAAGGCCAGGGGAGCGAAAGGGAUUAGAUACCCUAGUAGUC